ensembl:lncRNA
UGAUUGGGUAUUAGUGAUUGGGUAUUAGUGAUUGGGUAUUAGUGAUUGGGUAUUAGGGAUUGGGUAUUAGGGAUUGGGUAUUAGUGAUUGGGUAUUAGGGAUUGGGUAUUAGGGAUUAGGGAUUGGGUAUUAGGGAUUGGGUAUUAGGGAUUAGGGAUUGGGUAUUAGGGAUUGGGUAUUAGUGAUUAGGGAUUGGGUAUUAGGGAUUGGGUAUUAGGGAUUGGGUAUUAGGGAUUGGGUAUUAGGGAUUGGGUAUUAGGGAUUGGGUAUUAGGGAUUAGGGAUUGGGUAUUAGGGAUUGGGUAUUAGUGAUUGGGUAUUAGUGAUUGGGUAUUAGUGAUUGGGUAUUAGUGAUUGGGUAUUAGUGAUUGGGUAUUAGUGAUUGGGUAUUAGGGAUUGGGUAUUAGGGAUUGGGUAUUAGGGAUUAGGGAUUGGGUAUUAUGGAUUGGGUAUUAGGGAUUGGGUAUUAGGGAUUAGGGAUUGGGUAUUAGGGAUUGGGUAUUAGUGAUUGGGUAUUAGUGAUUGGGUAUUAGUGAUUGGGUAUUAGUGAUUGGGUAUUAGGGAUUGGGUAUUAGGGAUUAGUGAUUGGGUAUUAGUGAUUGGGUAUUAGGGAUUAGUGAUUGGGUAUUAGGGAUUGGGUAUUAGGGAUUAGGGAUUGGGUAUUAGGGAUUAGUGAUUGGGUAUUAGUGAUUGGGUAUUAGGGAUUGGGUAUUAGGGAUUAGGGAUUGGGUAUUAGUGAUUGGGUAUUAGGGAUUAGGGAUUGGGUAUUAGGGAUUAGUGAUUGGGUAUUAGGGAUUGGGUAUUAGGGAUUAGUGAUUGGGUAUUAGGGAUUGGGUAUUAGGGAUUAGGGCUUGGGUAUUAGGGAUUAGUGAUUGGGUAUUAGUGAUUGGGUAUUAGGGAUUGGGUAUUAUGGAUUGGGUAUUAGGGAUUGGGUAUUAGGGAUUAGGGAUUGGGUAUUAGUGAUUGGGGAUUAGUGAUUGGGUAUUAGUGAUUGGGUAUUAGGGAUUAGGGAUUGGGUAUUAGUGAUUAGGGAUUGGGUAUUAGGGAUUGGGUAUUAGGGAUUAGGGAUUGGGUAUUAGGCAUUAGGGAUUAGUGAUUGGGUAUUAGUGAUUGGGUAUUAGGGAUUGGGUAUUAGGGAUUAGGGAUUGGGUAUUAGUGAUUAGGGAUUGGGUAUUAGGGAUUGGGUAUUAGGGAUUAGGGAUUGGGUAUUAGGGAUUGGGUAUUAGGGAUUGGGUAUUGGGUAUUAGGGAUUGGGUAUUAGGGAUUGGGUAUUAGUGAUUGGGUAUUAGUGAUUGGGUAUUAGUGAUUGGGUAUUAGUGAUUGGGUAUUAGGGAUUGGGUAUUAGUGAUUGGGUAUUAGUGAUUGGGUAUUAGUGAUUGGGUAUUAGGGAUUGGGUAUUAGGGAUUGGGUAUUAGGGAUUGGGUAUUAGUGAUUGGGUAUUAGGGAUUAGGGAUUGGGUAUUAGGGAUUGGGUAUUAGGGAUUGGGUAUUAGGGAUUGGGGAUUGGGUAUUAGGGAUUGGGUAUUAGUGAUUAGGGAUUGGGUAUUAGGGAUUGGGUAUUAGGGAUUGGGUAUUAGGGAUUGGGUAUUAGUGAUUGGGUAUUAGGGAUUGGGUAUUAGGGAUUGGGUAUUAGGGAUUAGGGAUUGGGUAUUAGGGAUUGGGUAUUAGUGAUUGGGUAUUAGUGAUUGGGUAUUAGUGAUUGGGUAUUAGUGAUUGGGUAUUAGUGAUUGGGUAUUAGGGAUUGGGUAUUAGUGAUUGGGUAUUAGUGAUUGGGUAUUAGGGAUUGGGUAUUAGGGAUUGGGUAUUAGGGAUUAGGGAUUGGGUAUUAUGGAUUGGGUAUUAGGGAUUGGGUAUUAGGGAUUAGGGAUUGGGUAUUAGGGAUUGGGUAUUAGUGAUUGGGUAUUAGUGAUUGGGUAUUAGUGAUUGGGUAUUAGUGAUUGGGUAUUAGUGAUUGGGUAUUAGUGAUUGGGUAUUAGGGAUUGGGUAUUAGGGAUUAGUGAUUGGGUAUUAGGGAUUGUGUAUUAGUGAUUGGGUAUUAGUGAUUGGGUAUUAGUGAUUGGGUAUUAGUGAUUGGGUAUUAGUGAUUGGUAUUAGGGAUUGGGUAUUAGGGAUUGGGUAUUAGUGAUUGGGUAUUAGGGAUUGGGUAUUAGGGAUUAGGGAUUGGGUAUUAGUGAUUGGGUAUAAUGAAUAAAUAAUUAAUGGUCGUGGCCCAGUGGUCUAAGGCACUGCAUCUCAGAGAAACCCAUGUUGACUUCAAUCUGUUGUGCGAUGGUGUAUUUCUUUGCACUGCAUCUCAGUGCAAGAAGCCUCACUACAGUCCCUGGUUCGAAUCCACACAAUUGCCCCAUCAUCGUCCAGGUUGGGCCGGUGUAGGCCGUCAUUGUAAAUUAGAAUUUGUUCUUAACUGACUUGCCGAGUUAAAUAAAGGAUAAAACAAAUUAAAAUCCAUAAUGGAGUCACAUAUACAGUGCAACUGGCAAUUAACCUUUCAGACUGUGUCGUUGUUUUUGAAUUGUUUACGUGUUCGCUAUGCAGGACAAACGGAACUACGUGGC